ACUGUAUGAACCUACAGUAAAAAUGCUCAUUUCAGUAACCAGUAUGUUUACAACUGGUAACAAAUAGGUUCUAGUCUCUCAUCACGCUUGCAUUCUAUCCAGAAGUUUUCAUGUGUACAUAUUUAUUAAGUCAUCCUUUUUUUGAUACAAUUUGUGAAGCAAGAGUGAAAAUUUUUAGAAAUUUCAAGUAAUUAUCUUAACCUUUUCCGGUGUGUAGAAAUGAAUAUAGUAAUGAAAUAAAUGUUGCAUGCUUCCUGUGGUGCUAAAGAUUGACUGCCCGUUAGCCAAUGAGCAAGCUGAGUAUAAUUUAGAAAUUAAAAUUAGGCGAUUUCUGAUUGUCUUUUUACUUGCUUCAUUGUAACUACACGUUUUGGAGUCUCAUAUAUUAGCUAUUGGUUUUCUUCUGGAUGCCUCUGAAAUAAAGAUGAUCAUCUUUUUGACUAGUUGGAAGAGGAGUUGUAAAAGUGAAAAUGAAACAAGCACGCGGUUUUGAAAUUUGUAGCUUUAGUUUUUCAAGGAGUAGCAAUUUUGUAUAGACAGUGUAAAAAUAUAUUUAUCAUCACGUGAAACUUGAAUGAAAUUUGAAAGAAAAGAAAAAAA
rnacentral:lncRNA from 1 species